UGGUGGAUGCCUUGGCGCCAAGAGGCGAUGAAGGACGUGGUACGCUGCGAUAAGCCGUGGGGAGCUGCGAACAAGCUUUGAUCCGCGGAUUUCCGAAUGGGGAAACCCGGCCCUUUAGGGUCAUCCCUAUCCUUUGGGUAGGGAAGCGAACCCGGCGAACUGAAACAUCUCAGUAGCCGGAGGAAAGGACAUCAACCG
rnacentral:rRNA from 1 species